rnacentral:lncRNA from 10 species
UUGAUAGAGUGUCAUUAUAAAAACGCACCUGGAAGAUUCUGUGGAAAAGACAACCUCAGAAGACCAAGAGGCUGACUUUGCAAGAGAGAGUCCGUUUACCACUUAGAACCGUGAACACCACCCCCGCCCUCAUUUAUCUCCAGACUUGAACUAGUGGUUAAAUCCCAACAUGUCCCAGAGAAGUCAAAAGCAUUGUAAAAUCUGGGAAUCUGCCCACCACUCAAGCCUGGGAAAGCUGGCAGAGGAUGCACGUGUUUUACUCACCUGAGUGUUUACAAUGCUCGUGAGGUGCCUCCCUGAUAGUACAGAGGAAUGAAGAAGGAAUAAACAGACCUUCUGGAUAAUUGCAUCAGCCUUCCCCACUAUUCCAAUGCCAUGCUAACAUUUCAAGUAAUGUCCCUUUUGUCUUGCUGAGAAAAAAUCAUUUCAUGAUUUAUUACACUGGAUUAAAGGCUAUGCACACUCUGGAGUUGGAACAUGACUGAAGGGCAAGCAAGCAUAAAGGAUAUCAGAAACAGUUGAUGUGUUUAAAUUUUUCUGAAUUUCUCAAGUAAACUUUUUAGAAAGUAGUCUGAAGAUAAAAUGGUUAUAUAAGUUACUUAAACUGUAGAUGAUGGCACCUUUAUCCCUAUAUAAUAAAAUUAAGAUUUACAAUCCAAAGCAGAGUGGGAGGAAGAGACCUACAAGACCAUGUUUCAUUGGAUAGCUUUGGAGUAAUAUCUAUAAUUUUAGAAAAAAGUUAAGAGGAAGAAGAAACUGGUGUCAGCUACACUUAGAAGAUUUUACAACAGAGACUGGCUUCCAUUCACUGAUCAGACAUUCACUGAUUUUUAAUUCUUACCACCAGAGAAAAAGUUGUUAUGAUGAGGGUCCUCAGGAAAGACAAUACAGUCAGCCGAGAAAUACAAUUUUCUUUGUCUACUGUUGUUUCCUUUACACGGACCAUUGAAAUAUAUACUUAACCACCAGCAAAACUCCUAUUAAACACAAGUAAAAAAAAAUCACUACAUGCAAAAGAGUGAACACCAGGCAAAGUGAUAAUUUAUGAAUUUCCAGGAUUUUUGUUGUAAUUUACCCGUGUAAGUUUACAAUAAAUGAUUGAUGUAACUAAAUUUAUGGAUUGCAAUUAAUUACUAGGUUUGUACCACAGAUGAAGUAAUAUAUAUAUUGUCUAAUUUAAUAAUGAUUUGUCUACAGAAUUCAACCAACUGCUCAUUACAGAAUCUGAUGAACCUACCUUUAGACUACCUGUUAUCUUAACUACCUGUGAAGAUACUAUAUAUGAUGUAAUAGGUUUAACAAAUAAUGAAGGACCUUUUGUCCUUGCUUGACUCAAGAAGGGAUGGAGGGUCUCCAAGAAAUAUAAAUGUAGUCUGCUAUAAUGGGUAUUAGCUAGAUUAGUACUUCAGAAAAGGAAGAAUUAUUUUCAUUAUCAAAUGAUUAUUUGAUAUUUCCAUUCUGCAUUCUAAGCACAUAUUAGUUGAUGUACAGGUGCUGCUGGAUAACUGUUUGGAAACAGACCACAAAAUCGCUCCAAAAGGUAAAAUUCUCAAAUAACAGAGUUGUCAUGGUUGUAAAAAAAAGGUAUGAUAAAUACAUAAAAGCUGGCAAAAAUGGGGAAGGAUUAAAACUGUAACCUUAGUUAUCCUUCAGUAAACAUAGUUAAGUAGAAUGAAGCAGAUGUUUAUUCUGGUAGAUUCUAUUGCAAUGUUACAUUUUAACUUAAUAUUUCUAUUUUGUGAUUUAUUUUUAGUAUAGCAAAAUGUUUGGUUAAUAUUGUGGGUAUUGAUACUGUGUUAAAAUUUGUGACAGUCUAUUUAAUUUUUCAAUAUGAAGAAGUAUUACUGCUAUGAUGAAAUAUUUACUGUUGUGGUGGAAAUAAAUAAGAAAAUAGAAUUGACUAAAAGCAAAACAAACCAAUAAAAAAAGAAAAAAAGUCUGUUAUUUAUCAACAAAACAUUAGGAAAUUUACAUGCUUAAAGUAAACUUUGAUUCCCUAUUCCAAAGUGCCUUAUAUAUUCUACUCUCUUUGCUUUCACAUAAAUUUAUUCUAUGCUAUAAUGUAACUGGUAUACUAUUAAGUCCCAUACAUAUGUUACAUUGAACCAUACAUUUUUCUAUUCCAGGAAAGAGAAUUUUCUCAUUUUUUCCACCACUACCAUCCACCACAAUGACCACUAUUUUUCUCUUCACUUAAAAAGUAUCAUUUAUCUAAAGUUAAUGGCAUAGUUUCAGACUUCUCAUGUGUCCAAGCAUAUGAAUUAACAGUUCCUAUGUUAUUGUCCUAAGAUUUGUAGGUUAAACCUUGGAUAUUCCCAUCUGAGCAUCUGUACCAAACAGAAAAGACCUGUGUGAGUUCCUGAGAACCAGUGCUCAUUCCAGAAGAGACAGGUUUCUCUCCAGGAAGAAAUGUCUGAAAUUCAGUGAAUUAAAAUCCUCAUUGAGUCUUCCUACUCUUUACUUCUCCCUGGAAAAACUGGUUACGAAAAUUUAAUAUUCUGUCAUGAUAAGAUCAAGCUCUAUCAGAUCAGCCAUACAUAUCAAGUACAUUUUGACAAACUUGAUUCAUACUGUUUUCAAAUUAUGAACAACCAAGGCUCUUCUAUCCAAAAAUAUUGAUUAUUUAAUUCUGAAUAUCAUUACAGAGCAGUAAUAUGCUCUCAGCAUUUGGGGAUACAAGAGUCAGAAGAUGGACAAGCUUCCUUCCUAACAACAAUUACCACUUAAUUACAAUAUACCAAGUAGUAUUUUAUCUGCUAGGUAUAUUGGACUUACUUUUCACAGAUAGUUUAUACUAACAAAAUUUCUAACCAAAAUAUUUCUUGAAAAUUACUGAUUUUAUUUGAAAUUAUGUGCAGGAAAAAUACAAGCAUAUCUCUGAAUUUCUAUUUGUCUGUUAAACAAAAGGGGAUAAAUAUGACUAAUGUCAUUUAACAAGAGGAAUUACAGACUAUGAAAAGAGUAGCUUAUUUAUAUCAACUCACAAUACUUUCCAGAGAGAGAAAGAAAAAGGCUAUUAUGUGGCCUGAACAAGAAGUUGGCCAUCCUUUUCCCUUUCUUUGUGGAAGAUGGUCCUGAUAGGAUAGAGACUUAAAGAAGGGAUUGAUUUGUUUUCUCCAGCUGUCCUAAUAGUGAGUGAAUAAAAUUAACUGUGAACUAUUUCAAUCAAUAACUCAAUGAUUGACUUACAUUGAUUAGAAAAGAGCUGAUUCUUUGCCAUGGAUAUCUAGAUACCUUGAUGAUCCUAUUUUGAACCAAUUUAAAAGUAGGACAAUACCCACUGGAUGGAAGUUUCAAAACCUGAAAACAAUAAAACCCACAAGAUUUUAUUUCUUUUAAUAACUUCUGUGACAAUGAAAUUGAAGUCUUACACACUUUUUUUUUUUUUUACUCCAGUGUCUUGUUAUCUGGAGCAAAAUUCAGAAAGGAGAGCAACUAUGUAAAAAAGUAAGAAUUUUGGCUUGCUAUGCCAUUCUUAGAGGUUUCUUUUAUCUUUAUAUUUUCUUGAAAUGUCUUGUGUAAAAUUUAAACAACUUCCUGUACUAUAAAUAAGAUAUUUUGAAGGCAAGCAUAUGCAUAGAUAAUACUUUAGAAAAGAAUUGUGAUUCCAAUUCUGUACUUAGCACUUAAUAUUAAAAGUUUCUUAUAGUGAAUAUAAUUUUCUACAACAGAUAGUACAAUUUUGUUUCACCAUUAACAGGUAAAUAAGUAAAUAUACAUUUAAAUAAAUAUUAUAAAGUUCAUUUGUUAAUUAAUACAAACAUUAUAAAUUAUUGAAUACUUUUUCCAAUGGACAAGCAGCUUUAAAAACCUGCUUUCACCACUUUAUUUAUUUAUUUUUUUUUGAGACAGAGUCUCGCUCUGUCGCCUAGGCUAGAGUGAUCUCGGCUCACUGCCAGCUCUGCCUCCCGGGUGCACGCCAUUCUCCUGCCUCAGCCUCCCAAGUAGCUGGGACUACAGGCACCCGCCACCACACCCGGCUAAUUUUUUGUAUUUUUUUAGUAGAGACAGGAUUUCACCGUGUUAGCCAGGAUGGUCUUGAUCUCCUGACCUCGUGAUCUGCCCACCUCAGCCUCCCAAAGUGCUGGGAUUACAGGCAUGAGCCACCGUGCCCGGCCUUUUUUUGGUAUUUUUAGUAGACAUGGGGUUUCACCCUGUUAGCCAGGAUGGUCUCGAUCUCCUGACCUCGUUAUCCACCCGCCGCGGCCUCCCAAAGUGCUGGGAUUACAGGCAUGAGCCACCGUGCCAGGCCACUUUCACCACUCUUAAUCCUCUGAGGUGAAGAGGUCUUUUAAACUAUAGUUUGUAUAACUGAAAAUCAAAAGAAAAAAGUUUUAAUGAAGUUUUUGUAAUUAGUAAGAAACAUAAGGGAAUACCAAAAGCAAACUUUUUUGAAUGCUUACUUUUGGGGAAGCAUUGAAUUUUAUAUCUGGUAUAUGAUAAUUCAUAUCUUAGGAUAUGCUCCCCUUUCUAUAAGUAGGAAUUAGGAAACACGGAGAGGUGAAUUUUUUGCUCAUGAAUGAAUUUACCCAUUAGGCAUUUUUGAGAGGUAUCAGUAGUCAGCAGUUAUCACUUUCUUCUACUCUUCAUAUUGCUAGAGACAUAGUGACUCCAUGUCUUAUAGAAUGUUCAUUUUCUCUUUCACUUAUCCCAUAUCAUGUGCCAGCUAUUGAUCCAAUCAAUUUUAACAAUGAAAGUUCUAAACCAGGAACCAUUUACACUGGAUCUUACAUUUGCCCUGGGUAAGAUGGCAGUUGAUGGCAGUGUCCACGUGCAUCAGGAAGAAGUCUUCAUUAGCUUCAUGAUUUAAGUCCUUAAAUGUAAUUUUAUCACAGAAAACAUAACCUAUAUUCAAGCCUUAACCUUAACUUAGUCCUCAUAUUCAUUGUUACCCUUACCAAGUUUUUCUUAAUUGUAUGCCUAGCAUGCAAAUGAUACGGACAGGAGACAGGGAAAUACAGGGUAGAAAAGGGCAGUUCCCCAGCAAAGGCCCCACCCUCAAGCCUGAAAAACCAUGGCCCUAAAUGAGGACAGGCAUUCCUGUUGUCACACCCAAAAAGUUGCCUUUUGGCCUGCCAUGCCCCAUAUCCUGUACCCAUAUAAAUCCCGAACCCCACGCUCCAGAAGCAGAUGAGCAGGUGAGGAAAUGAGGAGUCAAACAGAUGGAUAGUAGAACGACACAGCAAAGAAAGAAGAGGAAUGUCUGAAUACCAAGAGGAGUUCAGCUGGGGGCAGUUAGGGAGAGGUUUGGAGACUGGCCAGUUUCCAGGGGAAGAUCACCUUCCUAUUCUAUCCCCUCCUUCUGCCUCCUCAUCCAGCGCACUGAGAGCCACCUCCACCACUCAAUAAAAACCUUGCAUUCAUCCUUUAAGCCCGUGUGUGACCUGAUUCUUCCAGGACGGUGGGUAAGAGCUCAGGAUACUGAAAGCUGUCACACUGGCUCUCUGCGCUUGCGAAAAGGCAGAGGGUCCAUUGAGCUGGUUAACACUUAAAAUCAUCUGCAGACAGCAAGGCUAAGAGAGCAUCAGUUAACACUGUGGCUGCAGGCACCCACCCCAAGACACUGCCGUGUGACCAGAGAACACAGUGCUUGCUCCAGCCUCUGCACCCACCUGUCUGCAUGAUCCCUCUCCCUCAAGGGUUUUGAGCAGCAGUGGUGACCAAAUAGCCAAGCCACUCCCCUGUUGCAAGUCCUGAGAGGGGGAUCAGGGAACUCUCCCAUUUCACUUAGGCAGGGAAGGGGUAAGACUAUGGGAUGGACUAAGAAUGUAGAUUUUACAUAUCACUUGGUAAUUUGUUACAAAUUAUUUGGUAAUUUUUUUUUCUUUUUGAGACAGAGUCUUGCUCUGUUGCCCAGAGCCGGAGUGAAUGGCCAGUCUUGGCUCACUGCAACCUCCACCUCCUGGGUUCAAGCAGUUCUCCUGCCUCAGCCUCCCGAGUAGCUGGGAUUACAGGUGUGCGCCACCAAGCCCUGGCUAAUUUUUGUAUUUUUAGUAGAGAUGGGGUUUCACCAUGUUGGCCAGGCUGGUCUAGAACUCCUGACCUCAUAAUCCACCCACCUCAGCCUCCCAAAAUGCUGAGAUUACAGGCAUAAGCCACCGUGCCCAGCCUACUUGGUAAUUUUUAAAAGCUACAGGUUUAAUAGUUAAUUUCUCAAGCAAAUAAAAGAUGUUCCCAACUCCAAACUGCUUUAUUAAAUAAUUUAACCUAAUUAAAUAGAAUCCUGAUCAUGGACCAUAUAGUUUAUUAUCCAAACUGGAGCCACAGGCAGUAGACAGGAUUGAACCAGACAAUCCUGCAAGAUCACCCACCCUCCUUCAAAGAGAUAUUGUCUGUGAGUGGACAUUAUCCUCACAGCCUUAUACCUCUUUUUUCCAAUGGACAAUUGCAUAUGAAAUGACAGCAGAAAAAUUAAAAAACAGGGCAUCCCCAAGGGCAAAAUAAUGUAGGCCCAACUCAACACAUCAAAGAUGAAAAACUGCAGAAUAUAGCACUCCUCCAACCUGAGCUGUAAAAAGUUAUAUUCUUCAAAUAAUUUUCACUACCACUCUAUAUAACCAUGUUAAAUACAUUAGCACAACAUACUGAUGAAAAUAAAUGUCUUCCAAGAUUUGCACAUAAAUGCAAAGAGGAUCGUAAUCAUUACUUUUAAGAGAUUUGGGGUCAGUUGGUGUGUGUAUAGGGGAGUGUGUUUUAUUGUGAUAUAAUUCAAAAACCAUACAACUGAACAGUUUAAUAUAUUAGCAGAGUUCUGCAACCAUCACCACUAUCUAAUUAUAGAAGAAUUUCAACACCUCAAACACAAACUCCAUACCAUUUAACAAUCACUCUUAAUUCUUCAUUCUCCCCACUCCCAGGCAAACACAAAUCUACUUUCUGUCUCUGUGGUUUUGCCUGUUCCGGACAUUUCAUAUAAAUGAAAUCAUACAAUGCCUUUUCUGGCUGAAUUCUUUUUACAAUAUAAUAAUUUCAAGGUUCAUUCAUGUUGUAACACGUAUCAGUACAUCAUUCCUUUUUAUUUCUGAAUGAUAUUGAAUUAUAUGGACAUACUACAUUUUGUUAUCCACUCAUCAGUUGCUGGACAUCUGUAUUAUUUCCAUUUCUGAGGUAUUAUGUGUAACACUGCUAUGGACAUUUAUGUGGAAUUUUUUGUGGACAUAUGUUUUCACUUCUCUUGGAUAUAUACCCAGGAGUGUAAAUUGCUGGUCAUAUUGUCUCUGUUUUAUAAUACAUUUUGAGGAACUGCCAAACUGCUUUCCAAUGUGACUUCACCACUUUAAAAUCCCACAGCAAUAUAUGAUAAUUACAAUUUCUCCAUAUCCUCACCAACAUUUGUUAUCAUCUGUUUUUUUUAUCUGAGCCGUCCUAGUGAGUAUAAAGUGGUAUCUCAUUAUAGUUUUGAUUAGCAUUUCCCUUCUGGCUAAUGAUGCUGAGUAUCUUUUCAUGUGUUUCUUAGCCAUUUGCAUAUUUUUCCUUGAAAACAGUCUAUUAAGAUAUUUUUCCUUAUUUUUGAAUGGGUUAUUUGUUUUUUCACUACUGAAUUGUAAGAGUAGUUUCUUUAUGCUAAAUACAAGAGCUGUAUCAGUUAUAUGUUUUGCAAUUGUUUUCCCUUUUACUGGAUUGUUAUAAUAAAGAGUCUGACUCCAUUAUUGAUGUGUGACUCUUGGCAGCUUUUAAAACCCCAUCCUAAUGUCUUCCCCUUCUGUCCCGCACUGGACCAUGAUGAUAAGAAAGUCUGGGUUUUCCCACCUUUGGCACUGAAGGGAAGUUCAAACCACACAGGGGGACCCUCAGCCCAGCCUCAUCUUAUAACCCCCAUAAAACCCCCA